AGUGAACGCUGGCGGUAGGCCUAACACAUGCAAGUCGAACGGCAGCACAGUAAGAGCUUGCUCUUACGGGUGGCGAGUGGCGGACGGGUGAGGAAUACAUCGGAAUCUACUCUUUCGUGGGGGAUAACGUAGGGAAACUUACGCUAAUACCGCAUACGCCCUUCGGGGGAAAGCAGGGGAUCGCAAGACCUUGCGCGAUUGAAUGAGCCGAUGUCGGAUUAGCUAGUUGGCGGGGUAACGGCCCACCAAGGCGACGAUCCGUAGCUGGUCUGAGAGGAUGAUCAGCCACACUGGAACUGAGACACGGUCCAGACUCCUACGGGAGGCAGCAGUGGGGAAUAUUGGACAAUGGGCGCAAGCCUGAUCCAGCCAUACCGCGUGGGUGAAGAAGGCCUUCGGGUCGUAAAGCCCUUUUGUUGGGAAAGAAAAGCAUCCGGUUAAUACCCGGGUGUUCUGACGGUACCCAAAGAAUAAGCACCGGCUAACUUCGUGCCAGCAGCCGCCGUAAUAC
rnacentral:rRNA from 1 species